rnacentral:rRNA from 1 species
UACGUAGGGGGCAAGCGUUGUCCGGAUUUAUUGGGCGUAAAGAGCGUGUAGGCGGUCUGAAAGGUCAGCUGUGAAAACUCGAGGCUCAACCUCGAGACGUCGGUUGAAACCAUCUGGCUAGAGUCCGGAAGAGGAGAGUGGAAUUCCCGGUGUAGCGGUGAAAUGCGCAGAUAUCGGGAAGAACACCCGUGGCGAAGGCGGCUCUCUGGGACGGUACUGACGCUGAGACGCGAAAGCGUGGGGAGCGAACAGG